CACCAGCACCGCCGGCCUCAGGACCAAGCCCACCACCAGCGGGCGUUGACGGAGGCGGGUGUGCGGCUCUGGCGCAGCUGAGCCGUCGACCGCCGGAGCCAAUCCGGCAGUCCGGCAUUUCAUCUGCCGCACACUCGCCCGUCACAGGAUCAGAGGCCUCCCGAGACAGGUGCAGCUGAGAAGGUAAAAGACACCUCACCGCUCCUCGGGUGGCGAGAGUCCAAUGUGAAAUUGGA